GUGAGUCAUCGAAUCUUUGAACGCACAUUGCGCCCCUUGGUAUUCCGAGGGGCAUGCCUGUUCGAGCGUCAUUAACACCCCUCAAGCUUGCUUGGUCUUGGGGCUCGCGUCUUCGCGGCCCUUAAAAUCAGUGGCGGUGCCGUCCGGCUCUCAGCGUAGUAAUUUUUCUCGCUCGUGGGUCGUCCGGUGACGCUGACAACUACUUUCAUGUUUGACCUCGGAUCAGGUAGGGAUACCCGCUGAACUUAAGCAUAUCAAUAAGCGGAGGA
rnacentral:misc_RNA from 1 species